AAUGGUAUUUAUAAUAUAAGAUCCUUUAUAUAUUAUUGUACACCUAUUUAUAAAACUAGGCUGGAAUACUAUCAAUAGCACCAAGUUAUUAGUGCUGUUGAAUUUUUAGCCCUUGGAUUGAGAAAUAUGCGGUUAGGAUGAUGUGGGCCCUCUAAGGUUGAGUGGGUGGUUGGUUGAAUAGUAUAAUCUAACGGGUAAAAAUAAUCAAAGGGAUUAAUCUAACGGCAGGAAACUUGAUAGCACCAAGUGUUUGGUGUUAUCGAUAGCAUAGCAGCCGAACUCCCUAUUUAUAUAUACUUCUAUUCGUGUAGAAUUUAUUUAAAAUUUG
rnacentral:lncRNA from 1 species